AACGAACGCUGGCGGCAGGCUUAACACAUGCAAGUCGAACGCUCAUAGCAAUAUGGGAGUGGCGCACGGGUGAGUAACGCGUGGGAACGUGCCUUUCAGUUUGGAAUAACACCGGGAAACUGGUGCUAAUGCCAAAUAUUCCCUCCGGGGGAAAGAUUUAUCGCUGAAAGAUCGGCCCGCGUAAGAUUAGGUAGGUGGUGGGGUAAUGGCCUACCAAGCCUACGAUCUUUAGCUGGUCUGAGAGGAUGAUCAGCCACACUGGAACUGAGACACGGUCCAGACGCCUACGGGAGGCAGCAGUGGGGAAUAUUGGACAAUGGGCGAAAGCCUGAUCCAGCCAUGCCGCGUGAGUGAUGAAGGCCUUAGGGUUGUAAAGCUCUUUUGUCAGGGAAGAUAAUGACGGUACCUGAAGAAUAAGCACCGGCUAACUUCGUGCCAGCCGCCGCUGUAA
rnacentral:rRNA from 1 species